rnacentral:lncRNA from 1 species
AAACCCCCCCAACAACCUUCCCCAAAACCCCCCCAACAACCUUCCCCAAAAUCCCCCCAACCACCUUCCCCAAAAUCCCCAACUUGUCCUAUAGACACACUUAAGUUUGGUGUGUGUGCUGAUUUAUUGGGUGUGGUUCAUAUUAUAAUUGGUAAGUCACAAUGUUGUUCACUCAUCGAUGGUCUUGCUAAUCUUGAUGCUGCUGUGUGCCUUUGCACUGCCCUUAAAGCUAAUGUGUUGGGAAUCAACCUUAAUAUUCCUAUUAACUUGAGCUUGAUACUUAACAAUUGUGGAAAGGGUGUUCCAAAGGGCUUCGUAUGCGCUUAAUUACUAAUUAGAGACACCACUACUUUAUAUGGUUGUGUCACAAUUUUCUUAAUUAUAUUCUUCAUUAUAUAGUGUGUGGAUUUUGUACUCUUUUGGUACUUAAUUGUCAUUUUCUUAUGAAUAAUACUUUGUAAUGGUUUGAAAUUGCCAUGAAUAAUAUUGUUGUGAUGGUUUUAAAUUGAAGCAUUAAUUUGUCUUCCUUUUCAAUAUCAAUACAAAUGGUGGUUUGUAUAGUAUUUCGUCUACGUAAAAUUUCUAGUAUCAAUAAGUAUUCUACGUUUAUGCAAAGAUUUGUCAUUCAUUCUGUUAUUUUAUUUUUGGACCUUUCCCAAUUAGUUUUCAUUUAUGCAAUGAAGCAGUUCUUGAUAUUAAUGUGUUUUUUUUUUUUUUUUUACAGAAAAAUAAGUAUAAUUCGAAUGUUAAAUAAAAAUAGUAAAAUUAAAUUGAUUAUAAAUUAAAUAUUUUCCAUCCAUAUUUAAUGUUAAGAUUAAAUUUAAUGAGCUAAAAAGAUAAAAAUAUAACAAUUAUACACAUAAGUAUUUUAAAAGCAGACAAGCAGACGAGUAGUAAUCAAAUUAAAACUUUAAUUUUAAUUACCAAAUUUAUUUAUCUACCUAUAACCAAUUUUCAAAAAUAACAUAAGAUUACAGUAUGUAAUAUCAUACAUAUUUGUCUGUACCGUAUAGAAUAAAAAAAAAUUGUGUAGAAUUUUUUAUUUAUAUAUUACAAUUUUAAUUUUAUAAUUAGGAAUAUAUAAAAAAUUGCGAAAGAUAAAUAAACCAUUUCAAUUUGAUUUUCUGUUUUGAAAAUUUUGGGAUUUUUUCUUUAAUAUCCUUUUGUUUCAAUUUUUUUAUUUAAAUUCACUACUUCAAAAAGAAAAUACUAAUAUGUCGUGCUUUUUGGAUUUUAUAUAAAUGAUUAAAAAUAAAACAAAUAAACAAUUAAUAAUAAUAAUAUAAAAAUAAUUAAAAUUAGUAAAAAACAAUACAAAAUUUUAUAGAGGUUGAGUAGAGUUAUUCGUAAUAUAGAAUAAUAAUUUGAAUUUUGAUCGGAUAACCAAUCUAAUUUAAAUUGUGGAUCUUAUAUCACUUUUACGAAAAUGCAUAUAAGAAUCUUUCAUUUGGUUAUUUUUCGGUAUUCAUUUUAAAACAUUGCAAUAAGAAUUAUUAAUUUAAUUGUAAUAAAAAUAUGUUUACUUUUUAAGGUAGAAAAAUAUUAUUAUUAUUAUUAAUAUAAAUAGGGAUAAAUAUAUUUUUAAUUCUUAAUUUUUUUUAUAUUUCAAUUUUACUUGCUAUAAAAUAAAAAUAUAAUUUUAAUCCUUACAAAGUUGUCGAUCCGGUAAGUAGUUCUAAUCUCUGUUUAAACAAAAUAUACUUAAUUGUUUUUCAACUUUAAAAAUUUUAGAAUGACUUUUCACACGUAUGUUUAUAAUAUUAUAAAAAGCUAAGUUCAUCCGCAUAAAUUUUGAAUUUUUUUUAUCUUGGUAUAAUUAAAUAUAAAAUUUUUAAAUAUAAAAAAUCAAGAUAAAAUGAACAAAAAUAUAGAUUUAAAAAUCUAAUUUUGAGCUCAUAUUUUGUGGUACAAUAUUUUUUAUAUUGUUGUAAAUAUAAUCGCAAAAAUUCAUUUAAAAAUAUAUGUUGACUUAACAACCUAAACUAAAACUACGUGUUGAUGUAGCUAAAUAUCACUAGAAUGAGGGUUGAAUAGGGAUUUUGCUGUUUAAAAUAAUUUCCAAGUGUUUUAAAAACUAUCCUCUUGCAGAGGAUGGCAAUCCCGAGGAUGGGUUUUUCAAAACCUUCAGAUUUGAACUGAGCUAAAGAGUGAAAGAGAAAUAUAAGAUUGACACACACUGUUUUUAUACUGGUUCACCCAAAGAUGGCUACUUCCAGUCCUCACACCCUUGUGAGAUUUCACUAAUGUUCAAACAGAUCAACCUCUGACCGAGGAUGAUUACAACUUGUGUAUUCUCAAGCUUCACCAAGCUUACAAUCAGAUUUCAAAUGUUUCCAAGUGUAUCUCACGUGGAAAUUACAGUGUGAUAAGAGAGUGAUUGAUUCUAAAUACUUUCUCAAAAGAUUAACAAAGAUCUAAUGUAGGAUUUGUAGAAAGUAUGAAGAUAUAAUGGAUGUUGCUUCUUGAAAGCUUUAAGAUCUUUGAUCUUUUUUAAUGCAAAGUGUUGUGUGUUGAUGAAGAUCAGCUUGCUGCAAUUUAUAGAGGUCUUGUAAUGUUCAUUUCAUGUGUCAAGCCUUUUAUGACCGUUGGAAAAUCCAUUUGAGAAAUGCCAAAGUUUUUCUUCAUAUUUACGAAAAUACCAUUCAACUCAUUAGAUAUAUGCAUUCCAUGUUCAAGUACGAAGUAGCUGUUUUCUUGGCACUUGGGGACACGUGAUGUCCUUUUCUCUUUCAUUUCUUUAAUGUUUGAAUAUUGUGUGGAGUCAUUUUCAUUCUCCUUUCUUCAAUGCCUUGAAAAAGCUUCACAUGUGAGCUUUUUCUCUUUCCUCCAUUUAAUGCAUUGUAAGAAUAUGUGAUGUCCUUUUCAUUCCUUUCUUCAAGACUUUGUGAAGGCUUCACGUAAAGGCUUUUUCUUCUUUCCUUACCUUAAGACAUAAUCAAUUUAUUUAAGACUUGUUUGUUGUUGCCUUUUUUGAAGAUUGACUUUAUAAUCCUUUUAAAUCACAUAAUAGUACAUGUAGCCUUUUGCCUAUGACAUGAUGAGUUGCUUUCAUAAAGUGUUGGGAAGCUUUUCAAGAUGUUGACUAUAGGCACAUGCUAAUAUCAUCAUUACUCGUACCUUUCUUUUGCAUUCUUGUUACUUUUCUUCAAAGACCUUUCUUUAAUCAUUUUUUAAUAGUAUUUUGCCUUUAUUGAAUGAAUCAAACAAUUCAUUCUUUAAUACUAUUCUGCCUUUGUUGAACGAAUUCAAAUAAUUCAUUCUUUUAAUACUAUUAUGCCUUUGUUUAAUGAAUUCAAAUCAGCGAGGAUGCAGAACUGCAGUUUCACCAGAUCGUGAGGCCAUCCUCGGCAUUUUCCAUACUUAGCAUUUAACUCAGAAUUUUCUUCUUUUUCCUUAAUGAAUGAUAACCUGUUUUCUUAUAUAAAUACACUCAAAAGCACAGAUUAGUCAUUAAACUCAAUCAUAAUCUUUUAAUUAAUUUUGUUAUCAUUAAAACCAAUUGAGAGAGAUUUUGUCUCAACAAUCUCCCCCUUUUUGAUGAUGACAAAAUUCUUUAGAUUAUGAUUUUUGUUUUAUGUAAGAAUGAAAUAAUUAAACUCCCCCUCAAUCAUACAAGUGAUAUUUUUGAAAUUAUGCAAUAUUGAGGUAAAUAGAACAUUCAUAAACACCUAAAAUAAAUUCCAGCAACUUAAGCAAAAUACCAUAGGUUCAUGAAUUCAGCCAUAACAUCCAGCAAACAUAAUUUGAGUUUAAACAACCAUAACAUCAGUCAGCAAAACAUAAUAUGAGUUUAAACAUGCUAUCAACAUAAGACAAAAUAUAAUACAUAAUCUGACUCCCCCUGAAUUAAGUCAACAUAAAAAAGUAUCUAAAAAAUUUAAAACAGAGUCAUUCAGCGGAAGAUGAAUCUUCAGAUGAUGAUGUAGAGUCGGGGUCAAAAGAGAACUGGGCCGGUAGCACAAGAGGUUGAUCAUUGGCAGCAGCUGAUGAACCCAAAUGUUUGGUAACCCAUUCCCGAAUGAGUCCAAACUGAGUGAUGGUUUUUUGAAAGUGAGAAAAGUUAACCAACAAUUUCUUUUGGUAUUUCCUAAUGGUCUUUAGAAGCUUUAAAAACCUUUUGUUAUCAGUUCCUGCCGAUUUCAUGCUUGUGGUUGAGUCAUCACGUGCCCUUUUGGAUUUUGAACUUUUAGCCUUAUCCUUGGAGAAAUUUUCAAAAUGUGGAGCCAAAUGAGAUUUGGAUUUUUCUUGUAAAUCCGGAUCAAAAUUAGAUGGAGCAAUAUUUGGAGAGAUAGGAGAAGAGUUCAGACUUACUUGAGAUGGUAAUGUGGAUUCUUCUGCAUGCAUGUUCCUAUGAGGGCAAGAAUGGUGAUCAUAUGAUACGUUCAGAUCAAAGAAUAAAUCUUCACCAUCCUUAACUAAAGGAGCGGCAGUGUGUGGUGAUAGAUUAUUACUGACUUGUGGAGAUUGAGGAAAUGUUGAGCCCGCAGAGUUAAAUGAGGGGGUGCGAGAAUGAGAUAGUGGAGAUGCUGACUUUUGUUUCUUUGAGGCAGUUUUCUUCUUCCUUGAGGUGGGGGUUUGUUCAGGCAGAUCAAUGCGCAUUUGUUUGAUAUUUUUCAUAGAAAAGAAAUUAUUGCACUAAAUACUCUCUUCAUCAUCAAGGGGUACCUUAAAGAACUUAAAGAUUUUGGUCAAGAUCAUCCCAUAGGGAGCUGAUCGACCCACAAUGGCAGCAUUCAACAUGUAGCUAAAUAUGAUAUUGCCCAUAUGAAGGGGUGUUCCAGUCAACAGAUGAUGAAUAAUCAGAAUAUCAAGUUCGGUUACCUUUUCAUAACUCCCAGCUCGAGGCACUAUCGAGUGAACACAAAUGUUGUGAUAAAUCCGACACAUAGGAGGAAGGUUUGAGGCUAUGAGAGGUUUAUGAGGAUCGAUCAUGAUAUUUUGAAGAACUGAAGUUCGAGUGACCAUAUACUGCAUAUACCAAGUUUCAGCAAAACAGUGGGCUCCAGCAUCUUGUAUGUCAAGGAUUUUGCAUAGUGAAGUGGGGUUUACGUCCAAGUGUACUCCCUUAAGCACAAAACUGAAACCAGAGCUUCCUUUGCAGCCAUUGCAUGCAGCAUAGAAUGCCUUUACCAGCCGUGGGUAUUGCGGUUCAUUCACUCUAAAAAAGGAGGUCCAUCCUAACUUAUCAAAUACUUCUACAACAUUAAAGCUACCAUUUUUCAAAUUGAUUAGGUCAAUGUGCUUGCCAUGAACCACAGAUUUGUUAAACCAUCUUGAGGUGUAAUUUAACUCUGAAUCUGUGGAGUCAAAAAGAGGAACAAGAGUUGGUUUGGAUGAACGAGAUUUCUUUGGAGUCGGUUUACCUUGUUCAGAUGAUUUGGUUUUUGACCUUUUUGGAGUGGAAGGUUUGGAGGAUGAUUUAGGGAUCGAUUUAGCCGAGGUAUUUCCUUUGGAAUCGUCCGAAUCAAUCACAUGCACAGUAGAGUCUUGAGUAACCUUUUUGUUUGAAUGGACAACCCCAGAUUGAACUCUUGAAGAUCGUCUGAUUGAGGCAGUGAGUUUUGACGAUGAGGGCUUUUUGGUUUUUUGAGAAGGAGGUUGAGGAGGUUCCCUAGGAGGAGAUACUGACUUUUGUUUUAUUCCUUGUCCAGCGGAUUCAGAACUUGAGUAGUUUUGUGAGUCAGUUUCUGGAUCAAAAGGAGACAUUUUUUGCUUGACAGUAGUUUUGAUGCGUGCCAUUUUUGUUUAGAGGAAGAAAACGGACGAGAAUGAGAUUCGUAGUGAAGAGAGAGAGAAAGGGAAACUGAAUAACUUGGGAGAGAGAACCGUAUGGAAGAGAGAGAGAGAGAGAGAGAAAAAAUUAAACACAGAGAAAGAAUGAAUUAAAACGGAGAGAAUGAAUUUGAACGGAAAAAGAAAUUAAUAAAAACGGAAAGAGAAAAAUUAAAUGAGAGAGAGAGAGAUGUGAGUGGGAAGUUGAAAACGUGAGAGAGAGGGAAAAAAACUGAUUGAUUGAUGGAGAGAGAAAAAAAAAUCAGAAACGUGAGAGAGAGAGAGAGAGAGAGAGAGAGAGAGAGGAGACAUGAGCCGUUGAUGAUGCGUGAUGAUGAUGGAUAGGGAAUCAUGAUGGACUGCAUUUAAUGUAGUAUGCUCAUUUAUGAGGAAUGAGAAGUAUCCAACACGUGCCAACCAUUUGACCAAUGGAUAAAAGGAGGCAUGCGCAUGGCCUUGACUGAUUUAUCAAGAGGAAGUUUCACCUAAAAGUGCCUAAAGUCUUCCUAUCUAAUUUUUUGACUUUAUUUGAGGGAUCAGAUUUGCCAUAUAUUUGCCACACAAAAUUAAAAUAAUAAAAGUCAAAAAUAACAUUAAAAAUAACAAAUAAUAAAAAAUAAAAUUAAAUAAAAAAUAACAGAAUUAAAUUAUUUAAAUAACUUUGGGAAAAUUUAUGAUGGAGAGUUCUUCUAAGAUGAAUUUAAACCGAUCCUCCUGGAGAGGUUUGGUAAAAAUAUCAGCCAAUUGAUUUUCAGUGUCAAUGAAAAUUAAUUAUAUAUCACCCUUUUGAACAUGAUCUCUUAUAAAAUGAUGUUUAAUUUCAAUAUGCUUAGAUCUUGAAUGUUGAAUGGGAUUUUUAGAAAGAUUAAUGGCACUUGUAUUAUCACAGAGGAUGAGAAUUUUUGUGUACCUUAAAGAGUAAUCUUCUAGUUGAUUCUUUAUCUAUAGAAGUUGUGAGCAACAUUGAGCAGCUGAUACAUAUUCAACCUCUUUAGUUGAAAGAGCAAUAGUACUUUGUUUUUUGCAUGACCAACUUAUUAGAGAUUUACCCAGAAGUUGGCAAGUUCCGCUUGUGCUUUUCCUUUCAACUUUAUCUCUAGCAUAAUCGGCAUCACAAUAAGCAAUGCGAUCAAGAUUUGAGCAUUUUUUGUACCAAAUUCCCAGAUUAAUAGUGCCCACAAGAUAUCUAAAAAUCCUUUUUACUGCAGUAAGAUGAGACUCUUUAGGAGAAGAUUGAAAUCUUGCACAAAGACCGACUGCAAAGACUAUGUCUGGUCUACUGGCUGUUAAAUAUAACAAGGAUCCAAUCAUCCCUUUAUACUCUUUUUUCAGAUAUUGGAGUUCCUUCAUCAUCUUUGUGGAGUAUCGAGGAUGGAUGCAUAGGAGUUCCCAUACUUUUGGCUGAACUCAUUUUGUAUUUGUUGAGUAGAUCCUUGGUGUAUUUUUCUUGAGAUAUGAAGAUACCAUCAUCUCGUUGUUUAAUUUGCAAACCAAGGAAGAAUUUUAAUUCUCCCAUCAUACUCAUCUCAAACUCACUUUGCAUGAGAUUGGAGAAAUCUUUGCACAUUACUUCAUUUGUUGAUCCAAAUAUUAUGUCAUCGACAUAAAUUUGAACAAUCAAUAAAUCUUUCUCAUGAGUCUUCUUGAAAAGAGUUGUAUCAAUUUGACCCUUAAUGAAUCCAUUCUCUUUUAGAAAAGAGCUUAACCUCUCAUACCAAGCUCGAGGAGCUUGCUUUAAGCCAUAAAGAGCUUUUGAGAGUUUGAACACAUGAUUCGGCCUCUUCAUAUCUUCAAAACCAAGAGGUUGACGAACAUACACUUCUUCAUUUAAGAACCCAUUCAAAAAGGCAUUUUUGACAUCCAUUUGAAAUAGUUUUAUACCUUUAUGAGUAGCAUAAGCUAAGAGGAUUCUUAUUGCUUCUAGUCUUGCUACGGGUGCAAACGUUUCAUCAUAAUCAAUUCCUUCUUGUUGAUUGUACCCUUGUGCCACUAGUCUUGCUUUAUUUCUAAUGACUUCUCCAUCCUCAUUUAGUUUGUUUCUAAAUAUCCAUUUAGUCCCAAUAAUGGAUUUAUCCGGAGGAUGGGGUACAAGAUUUCAUACCUUGUUUCUUUCAAAUUGUGAAAGUUCUUCCAUCAUAGCUUCAACCCAUGAUUUGUCACCAAUAGCUUGAUCAAUCAUUUUGGGUUCAACUUGUGAUAUCAUGGCCAUGUUGGUAGUGUUUUCCCUUAGAGAAUUUCUGGUUAUAACACCAUCUUCAGUAUUCCCAAUGAUUAGAUCUGGAGGAUGAUGUGUGACUGUUCUCCAUCCUCUUGGAGGUUGCUGUGAGGUUGGGUCAGACUCAUCCUCAUCAUGAGGACCGGGUACUCGAGAGGGUGAAGGUUCAUCUUCUUCAUUUUUAUCCAUUUUUUCUAAACACAAAUUAUCAAACUCAUCAAAAAUAAUAUGCAUGGAUUCCUCCACAGUUUGAGUCUUAAGAUUAUAUAUUCUAUAACCUGUUGACGUUGUGGAGUAUCCUAGAAAAAUUCCUUUAUCAGAUUUUGGAUCAAACUUUCGCAAAUUUUGUUUAUUAUUGAGAAUGUAGCAAUAACACCCAAAAAUAUGAAAAUAAGAAAUAUUUGGUUUUCUCCCUUUCCAUAACUCGUAUGGAGUUUUGUUUAAAUUUUUUCUAAUGGAUGCACGAUUAGAAACAUAACAAGCAGUGUUAAUGGCUUCGGCCCAAAAAUAUUUUUUAAUAUUGGCUUCAUUUAAAAUGGUUAUAGCCAUUUCUUGUAAAGUUCUAUUUUUCCUUUCAACAACCCCAUUUUGUUGGGGAGUACUUGGACAAGAAAAGUUGUGAGAAAUACCGUUUUCAUUACAAAGAUUUUUAAAGGAUUCAUUUUCAAAUUCACCCCCAUGGUCACUUCUUACAGAGACAAUUUUUGAUCCAUUUUCGUUUUGAACCUUUUUGCAAAAAUGGUGGAACGCCUCAAAGACUUCAUCUUUAUGUUUCAAAAAUAAAACACAAGUAAAACGAGAAAAAUCAUCAACAAUGACAAAGCCAUAUCUUUUACCACUAAGACUUGGAGUUUUGAAAUAAUAAAAUUUUAAAAAAUAUUUAAAAUGAAAAAUUAUUUUCAAAAACUUAUCAUAUAGAAAAAUAAACAAUUUUUACAAUAUUUAAAUAUUUAAAUUAUUGAAUCUUAAAUUUGUUUUAGUCGGUAAAAAAUGCAUCCAAAAUAACUUGUUUUAUUUUGAAUUAAAUUUUAGUGUAAUUAAUUUUACAAAUAUAAAACUAAAAUCAUAAUUUUGAAAAUUUAUAAAUGUUAGUAAAAAGAUAUUUAUCUCAAAUGAACCCGAUAUAUUUGUAUUCCCUCGAUUGAGAGCAUAUUUCCUCCUUCCAUGUUGAUUUGGUAAGUGCUAUGUAACUGAUCUUGACUAUUAAGUUUCCACCCAAUGGCCUUUCACUCAGUCACUCUCCCUAAGCCUCCAAAAUAAACCAAUUAUUUUAUAGUUUGACUCCUUAACUUAAUUUUGAUCUUUUAAUAGUUUUUUUUUAUUAUGUUUUGGAUCCUUAAUUUUACUUUUGUUAGUUAUAUUAGUCUUUUCUAUUUUCUUUUUAAAAUGAAUUAUUUUUGUUAGUUUUCAUCCCAAAAUAUUAAUGAAAUAAAACAAAAAAUAAGUUUUUUAGUUUUUUUAGUUUGACUUUUGUAAGUCAAAAUUACCUUUUAUUUAUUUACCUUAAAUGAUAUGUAAAUCAAAAUUAAUGAAACGAAAUCUAACAAAAAGACUUAACAUUGAUAUUACUAUUAAAAAUAAAGUCAAGGAAACAAAAAUGAAUAAAAAAAGAAUUAAGAAAUUAACAUGAAAAUACAAAAUAAGUUAAAGGUCUAAAUAUUUAAUUUAUUUGGUUUCAAUUGCAUUAAAUAUAUUUAAAUACCAAUAAACUCAUAAAACCUUCCCUAUAAAACCCCCUCUCAUUCCUCUUCAAAAUCAUCACUCAACACACAUACCAACCAAGAGAAUAAGCACAAUCUAAAAGCCAUUAAUUAAUUAGCACAUCUUAAUUAUUAUUCCAAAUGGCUUCAAAAAUUGCUAUUCUCCUUUCCAUCAACAUCCUAUUUUUCACUAUGGUUACCUCAACUAAUGUUUGUCCUCCAUCACCCCCUAAAGUUCAAAAACCACCCCAACCACCUUCCACAAAACCCCCCCAACAACCUUCCCCAAAAUCCCCCCAACAACCUUCCCCAAAAUCCCCCCAACCACCUUCCCCAAAAUCCCCAACUUGUCCUAUAGACACACUUAAGUUUGGUGUGUGUGCUGAUUUAUUGGGUGUGGUUCAUAUUAUAAUUGGUAAGUCACAAUGUUGUUCACUCAUUAAUGGUCUUGCUAAUCUUGAAGCUGCUGUGUGCCUUUGCACUGCCCUUAAAGCUAAUGUGUUGGGAAUCAACCUUAAUAUUCCUAUUAACUUGAGCUUGAUACUUAACGAUUGUGGAAAGGGUGUUCCAAAGGGCUUCGUAUGCGCUUAAUUACUAAUUAGAGACACCACUUCAUUAUAUAGUGUGUGGAUUUUGUACUCUUUGCUACUUAAUUGUCAUUUUCUUAUGAAUAAUACUUUGUAAUGGUUUGAAAUUGCUAUGAAUAAUAUCAUUGUCGUGGUUUAUUAGUAUUGCUAUGAAUAAUAUUUUUGUGAUGGUUUAUUAUUAUUGCUAUGAAUAAUAUUGUUGUGAUAGUUUUAAAUUGAAGCAUUAAUUUGUCUUCCUUUUCAAUAUCAAUACAAAUGGUGGUUUGUAUAGUAUUUCGUCUACGUAAAAUUUCUAGUAUAAUUCGAAUGUUAAAUAAAAAUAGCAAAAUUCAAUUGAUUAUAAAUUGAAUAUUUUCCAUCCAUAUUUAAUGUUAAGAUUAAAUUUAAUGACCUAAAAAGAUAAAAAUAUAAUAACUAUACACAUAAAUAUUUUAAAAGCAGAUGAAUAGUAAUCAAAUUAAAACCUUAAUUUUAAUUAACAAAUUUAUUUAUUCUACCUAUAACCAAUUUUUAAAAAUAAUAUAAGAUUACAGUUAGGGAUGAGAAUAAGCUAGGCCGUCCGACAACGGCCUAUGACAUGGCCUACUUAUGACCUGGCCUAUUUAAUAAAAAGACUAGGCUCAAGCUAUUUUUAAAGCUUAUUUAUUUAAAUAGGUCAGACUCAGGCUUAUAAAGAAGCCUAUUAGGCCUGACAUGCCGACCUAUAUAGAUUUAAUUAUUUACUAAUGUUAUUUUUUAUUAUUAUAUUAUUAAUAUUAUUUCCUAUUUUAAAUUCUAUCAAUUAGACAAUCACUCGGUAGUCAUUCCAUAUUUGGUAGUCGUUCCAUAUUCGGUAGGCAUUCAAUUAGUCAAUAACUCAGUAGUCCUUUCAUAUUUGUUUGAGAGGUAAUAAUUGGUACAUUUGUUUCAAAAACAAAAAGUCUAUUCUUUGAAACUAAGAAUUAUGUUUUAGAGUUUAAAGGAUGUUUGUUUCAGAUUUUUUAAAAAUUAUUUUGUUAGAAAAAUUAUUUUUUGUUUAAUAUAUAUAGAUACGUACAUUGAUAUUGAUAUGUGGAGAACAUUUAAAUAUUUUAAUAUGAAUAAGACUUUUAAAUAGGCUUCCAGGUCAGGCCAGACCAGAUCGAAAAAAAAAGCCUAUGAUAAGCCGUGGGCCAGACUUGGGCCUAAAAAAUUAAUCGUAGGCCAGGCUCAGGCCUUGCAAAGCCUGGUCUGAUCUGACCUAUUCCCACCCCUAAUUACAGUAUGUAAUAUCAUGCAUAUUUGUCUGUACCGUAUAGAAUAAAAAAAAAUUGUGUAAAACUUUUUUUAUAUAUGUUACAAUUUUAAUUUUAUAAUUAGAAAUAUAUAAAAAAUUGCAAAAGAUAAAUAAGCCAUUUCAAUUUGAUUUUCUGUUUUGAAAAAUUUGAGGAUUUUUCUUUAAUAUCCCUUUGUUUCAAUUUUUUUUCUAAACAAUUAAUAAUAAUAAAAAUGAUUAAAAUUAGUAAAAAACAAUACAAAAAUUUAUAGAGGUUGAAUAGAGUUAUUUGUAAUAUAGAAUAAUAAUUUGAAUUUUGAUCGGAUAACCAAUCUAAUUUAAAUUGUGGAUCUUAUAUCACUUUUACAAAAAUGCAUAUAAGAAUCUUUCAUUUGGUUAUUUUUUGGUAUUCAUUUUAAAAUUUUGCAAUAAGAAUUAUUAAUUUAAUUGUAAUAAAAAUAUUUUUACUUUUUAAGGUAGAAAAUUAUUAUUGUUAUUAUUAUUAUUAUUCUUAAUAUAAAUAGGAUUAAAUAUAUUUUUAAUUCCUAAUUUUUUAUAUAUUUUAAUUUUAGUUGCUAUAAAAUAAAAAUGUAAUUUUAAUCCUUACAAAGUUGUCGAUCCGGUAAGUAGUUCUAAUCUCUGUUUAAACAAAAUAUACUUAAUUGUUUUUCAACUUUAAAAAUUUUAGAAUGACUUUUCACACGUAUGUUUAUAAUAUUAUAAAAAGCUAAGUUCAUCCGCAUAAAUUUUGAAUUUUUUUUAUCUUGGUAUAAUUAAAUAUAAAAUUUUUAAAUAUAAAAAAUCAAGAUAAAAUUAACAAAAAUAUAGAUUUAAAAACCUAAUUUUGAGCUCAUAUUUUGUGGUAUAAUAUAAACAAAUUAUACUUAAUUAUUUUUCAACUUUAAAAAUUUUAGAAUGACUUUUUACAGGUAUGAUUAGAAUAUUAUAAAAAGCUAAGUACAUUCACAUAAAUUUUGAAUUGUUUUUACCUUGGGUAUAAUUAAAUAUAAAAUUUUUAAAUAUAAAAAAUCAAGAUAAAAUUAACAAAAAUAUAGAUUUAAAAACCUAAUUUUGAGCUCAUAUUUUGUGGUAUAAUAUCUUUUAUAUUGUUGUAAAUAUAAUUGCAAAAAUUUAUUUAAAAAUAUAUGUUGACUUAACAACCUAAACUAAAACUACGUGCACGAUAAUUUUGUGUGAACUUAAAAUUAUAUUUUUAUUAUACUUAGAUUAAAUUGAAAAGAUUCAAAUUUUAUAAAGACUAAUAAAAACAUAUUUAACCUUUUUAAAUAAAUUAUAAGUAGUAUUCCUUCCAUAAUGAAUUAUAAACAAAAAAACUCAAUAACAUCUAAAAAAUAUUAUUCAUCAUAUUUAAUCUAUACAAUUCCAAUAUAUAAAAUAAAAUCUAUUGCUUAAAUUGUGAUCAUUAACUAAUAAAGUUUUUUGUUUGUUUUUGUUGUAAAAUGGAUAUAUCAAAGCUAACCUCUAGCACAAGGUGUGCAACACACAUGCAUGAAUACAUGAUGAUCUUAUAACACCACACUACUGUAACCACUUCUACAAAGCUUUGAAACUUCCCCACAAGGAUCUACACACUUGAAGCAUUGUUCUCCAUUAUCAAUAAGUGAAAGCCCUUCAACAUUAAACGCACUUUGCAUGCCCAUCACAUCUUAUUGCAUCAGAAAAUCUUACAAACCACAACCUUUUAAUUGUUGGUAGUCUAUCCCAAUCACUUAUCCUCGAUAACUAAUAAAUUGAGUUAUUGAAUAUAUAAAAAUAUAUAUUAAAUGAGGGGUAGUUUAGAGAUAUUAUUAUUAAAUAAGAGAGACAUUAUUGAUUUUUACUUAUAUUUUAUUUUAAGAAAUAUAAUAUAAUUUUGUUUAUGCUUCAUUUUCAUAGAAGUAUGGGUAGAAAUUGCUAGUUGUAUGUAACGAUAAAAGAAAUUAAAAAGGAUGGAGAGAUUGAGGAUUCACCCUUAUUUGAUGAGACUUGGAAUAAAUUGGUACAUGUGAAGGUUUCGUCAUGAAAACUUUUAAAUAGUAGACUUUCAACUAAGGUCAAUUUGGUUCAAUGUAAAGUUCUUGAGUCAAAUGUUAAGUCGUGUGUAGGUGGUUGUGGGACAGUCCAAACUACACAACACAUAUUUUUUUCGAUUGUCCAAUAUAUAGACAUGUUUGAGUGGAUAUAUUGUGUUUGUUAGAUGUAGGUUGUCCUCUUGCAAAUAACUAUUCAACUAACGUCCUUCAAUUUGAUGGUUUGGUCCUUUGGGUAAACUUUUGAGAGAAAUACUUCAUUCCAUUUGGCUUGCACACUUUUGGUCUAUUUGAAAAUCAAAUAUUUUUCAAGAGAAAUAAAGUUAUCUUCGCUCACUCAAUUCUUGCAAUGGUGAAAUAUGUCUCAUAUUUAUGGAUCAAAUUCAAGGAGAUUAGUGUUUCUUAUGAUAUAGAUAUACAAGUGGGAUGUGUGUGAGUAAGAUACAAAAUGAGGAGAGAACAAAAUUACCAAACAAAUAAAAAUCUUAUAUCUUUUAUUUUUUAUUAUUAAUAUUUAAUAAAUAUUCAAUUUCUUCAAUCAAUUACCUCAAUUUUUUAGCGGUGUCAUCAAAUCUAUAUAAUUACAUUUUAAUAUCAUUCAUUUAUUUGAACAUGUAAUCCAUCUGUAAGUACAUAGCGAUUAAUCUCCAGUGAAAACUGAUUAUAACAAUAUAUAAGUAUGAAAUGAUGUCAUUGAAUAAAAAUAGAUAAUAAAGACAAACCACGUAUUGCAAUUUAUAUGCAGAUAGUUCCAAACUUGUGACCUUAUAAUAUAUUGUAUUCCCUCAAUUUGAGAGCAUAUUUCCUUCUACCAUAUGUUGACCUGUCAGCUUGUGCUAGCCUGAUCAUGACUAUAGACUUUCCCCCCAAUGGGCUUACCCACUCACUCACAUGGGCCUCCAAAAUAAACCUAUUAUUUUAAAUAUUAAAAUAUUAAUAAACUCAUCAAACCUUUCCUAUAAAAGCCCUUAAGCAUCAUCACUCAAACACACACCAAACCAAACCAAGAGUAUUAGCAUAGUCAAAAAGCCAUUAAUUAAUUAGCAUCUUAAUUAUUCCAAAUGGCUUCAAAAUUUGCUAUUAUUCUUCUUUCCCUCAACAUCCUAUUUUUCACUAUGGUUACCUCCAAUUAUGUUCCAUGUCCUCCACCACCCCCCAAGGGUCACAAACCCCACCACCCACCUUCCUCAAAAUCUCCAACUUGUCCUAGAGACACAAUUAAGUUUGGUGUGUGUGCUGAUUUAUUGGGUUUGAUUAAUGUUCAACUUGGUAAGCCACCAAAGACACCAUGUUGUUCACUCAUUGAUGGUCUUGCUAAUCUUGAAGCUGCUGUGUGCCUUUGCACUGCCCUUAAAGCUAAUGUGUUGGGAAUCAACCUUGAUCUUCCUAUUAACUUGAGCUUGAUACUUAACUAUUGUGGAAAGGGUGUUCCAAAGGGAUUCGUAUGCGGUUAUUGAUUAGAGACAUCACUUGAUA